UACACGUGUACUACUUUAGCAAAUGUUGGAACAGCACCCACAUUUUUCUAAUUAGAAUGGUUGGGAUUACUGAAAUCUACAACUCCUGCUUUUCAAAUUGAAAAAUACUUUAUUCAGCACCCUUGGCAUGUGGGGCAGCUGAAAAGCAAGACAAGAUCUCAGGGAAAAUCAUACUGAAAACUGGACAGCAGAAACACUAUGGGAAGUGAAUGACAAUGGAAAACAAAGAGCAACCCUCUGUUGGAAACCACAGAAAAGCCCAUUGGUUGGACUUUACGGACUGAUCUCCUAUCAGCGCCUUUGUUGCAGCAGGGCAUCUUCUGGCUAUCUGCUACCAUGGGUUCUGGAGGUGCUAAAAAUGGCAUAGUAAGGAGAAGCUGGAAUGAGCUCCAGAACAGGGUGAGAAGGACAAUUGUACAAACGAGCAUUCCACCAGCUGCAGUGGU